GUAGUUUCGUUUUUCCUCUGGUUGUGUUUAGUUUCUUGACGAAGUCUCACACGGACACAUCAGUUUCUCUCAAAUUCGAAUCUAGUUAAAUAACGUUUUUUGUUAAUGUGACUUGUACAGUUUUGCAAGAUUAUCGUCUAUGCCUGUGUGUGUCUCCUGAUUAUUAUUACAUCGUAUAUACUUGAUAAGGACCACAACCAUAUUGUCGAAACGUCGUAUUAAUAAACAAAAUUUCUGGCUAGUUUGAUCGACUACACUUUUUUCAACGAUCCUUGGAAAGAUAAUUACAUUAUUAUCUUUUUAUCGCUAAUGUCAAAUCAAAUAUAGCGGCGCUCCUGUCACAGCAGCAUGCAGAGCAAAAAACAAGACAGCGCACAAUGAAUCUGUUAACAAAACUAGCACAAAAACUAGC